rnacentral:lncRNA from 1 species
UGAGCCUCACAAGGGGCUGCGGUGGAGUGAAGGAGAGGACCUCUACCAUCGCGGUAGGCAUCCUCCAGUGAUAGGCUCCUUCCAGCGAGGCGAUGUUCUUUCUCAUGGAGCGAGAAGUCAAAGGUGCGUCUGAAGAUAUGUCUGCGAGGAUAGAAAGGAAACAAAAGGAAACGGCAAAGAGGCGAAAAUCGUGGGGGUGUGUUGAGCAGUUUGUGCCGCGGCAUGUAUGGGGAAUGGCAAGGUUGAUCGAAAAGCCAAUUUUGAUUCUUGGCAGGAUGAG